GGACAAACAGAGAGGACGCAUCAGGGAAGGGAGAGGCAGAGAAAGCUGACUAGGGGAUGUUGAUCAGACCUGGGCACUCUGCAGUGAUGAUCAGCAGCUCAAGAGCAAGGGUGGCUCCUGACCGUGAGGGGUCAGCACCAGGCCCACAAGCCUGUCUGUUGCACCAGUGCCCAGGAGGGGCUGUCGACUGCAGAACUGUUUUCUCUGGCUCGACCUCACCCAGAACCAGCGGCAGAAAGGCCAGUUAUGCAACCAUCCUCACCACAGCCUGCCAGCCUCAGAGGCUGGGCCUGGCCGCCGGGCCUGGCCGCCAGGCCUGGUAAGGAGACUGCUGUGGCCUGCACAGCACAAGGCCAUCCUGGGCCCCAACUGCCACUUUCCAUGCAGGUGCAAGACGCUCUGCUGACAAAUACCUGGGGAAAGCAGGAGCUGUGGGAGGGAGGUAAAAAUAGCACAGUUGGCAACAGAGAAGGCUUUUCUAAGUCCUCAGGGUCCUAUUAGUCCUUGUCCAUGGGAUACACAUGAGCUGGCACUGAGCAUUCUCUCUUCUCCAAGGCUCAUGCUUAGAACAGGCACAGAGGCCUGGGAGGCCUCUUGUAUCAUGUCAGGAGCUGCACAGUGAUCAGAAGUUAGGGAGAGCGCCUGUUGCAGAGGCUGGAUUUGGAGGAUAUGCUGGGGCUGCCGUCAUAACCCCACAUCCCCAGUGGGUUCUCUCUGGCCACUCCCUCUACGGCCAGUUCUGUUUUCUCCCCAUUUUUGGAAACCCAAAUUCUUGAUGUUUCUGUUAUUCACAUUGCCAUUAAGAAUUAUGGGCUUUGCACUGUGUUUUUAAUUUGUUGUGUAAGGGUUUUACACAAACACAGCUAGAUGCCUAGAAAAGACAAUGUAUAUGGGCAUGCAGGCUGUGCACUGCACAACUCCAGAGGGCUUCAUUCAUGACCAGGAUGUGAGUGGCGCCCUGGAAUCAUGCAAUGUGGUUACCGGUAUUGCCAGAGAGGAAAUGAUGUCUUACAUGACCCCAUAUCCCCGGGAAAAGGCCAGCCAUGCUAAUAAAGAUUUGCUAACUAACC
rnacentral:lncRNA from 10 species